rnacentral:rRNA from 1 species
CCCUGGAAACGGGGUCUAAUACCGGAUAAUACCUGCCUGGGCAUCUGGGUGGGUUGAAAGCUCCGGCGGUGAAGGAUGAGCCCGCGGCCUAUCAGCUUGUUGGUGAGGUAGUGGCUCACCAAGGCGACGACGGGUAGCCGGCCUGAGAGGGCGACCGGCCACACUGGGACUGAGACACGGCCCAGACUCCUACGGGAGGCAGCAGUGGGGAAUAUUGCACAAUGGGCGAAAGCCUGAUGCAGCGACGCCGCGUGAGGGAUGACGGCCUUCGGGUUGUAAACCUCUUUCAGCAGGGAAGAAGCGAGAGUGACGGUACCUGCAGAAGAAGCGCCGGCUAACUACGUGCCAGCAGCCGCGGUAAUACGUAGGGCGCAAGCGUUGUCCGGAAUUAUUGGGCGUAAAGAGCUCGUAGGCGGCUUGUCACGUCGGGUGUGAAAGACCGGGGCUUAACCCCGGUUCUGCAUUCGAUACGGGCUAGCUAGAGUGUGGUAGGGGAGAUCGGAAUUCCUGGUGUAGCGGUGAAAUGCGCAGAUAUCAGGAGGAACACCGGUGGCGAAGGCGGAUCUCUGGGCCAUUACUGACGCUGAGGAGCGAAAGCGUGGGGAGCGAACAGGAUUAGAUACCCUGGUAGUCCACGCCGUAAACGGUGGGAACUAGGUGUUGGCGACAUUCCACGUCGUCGGUGCCGCAGCUAACGCAUUAAGUUCCCCGCCUGGGGAGUACGGCCGCAAGGCUAAAACUCAAAGGAAUUGACGGGGGCCCCCACAAGCAGCGGAGCAUGUGGCUUAAUUCGACGCAACGCGAAGAACCUUACCAAGGCUUGACAUACACCGGAAACGGCCAAAGAUGGUCGCCCCCUUGUGGUCGGGGUACAGGGGGGGCAUGGCUGUCGUCAGCUCGUGUCGGGAGAUGUUGGGUUAAGUCCCGCAACGAGCGCAACCCUUGUUCUGUGUUGCCAGCAUGCCCUUCGGGGUGAUGGGGACUCACAGGAGACUGCCGGGGUCAACUCGGAGGAAGGUGGGGACGACGUCAAGUCAUCAUGCCCCUUAUGUCUUGGGCUGCACACGUGCUACAAUGGCAGGUACAAAGAGCUGCGAAGCCGUGAGGCGGAGCGAAUCUCAAAAAGCCUGUCUCAGUUCGGAUUGGGGUCUGCAACUCGACCCCAUGAAGUCGGAGUUGCUAGUAAUCGCAGAUCAG